rnacentral:rRNA from 1 species
AGGGAGUGUUGAUCCUGGCUCAGGAUGAACGCUAGCUACAGGCUUAACACAUGCAAGUCGAGGGGCAGCAUGGGAUUAGCUUGCUAAUCCUGAUGGCGACCGGCGCACGGGAUGUAGUAACGCGUAUCCAACCUUCCCCCUGCUCAGGGAUAGCCCGCUGAAAGGCGGAUUAAUACCUGAUAGCUUCACUAGAUGGCAUCUGACGGUGAAUAAAGAUGACGGCAAGGGAUGGGGAUGCGUCUGAUUAGCUUGUUGGCGGGGUAACGGCCCACCAAGGCAACGAUCAGUAGGGGUUCUGAGAGGAAGGUCCCCCACAUUGGAACUGAGACACGGUCCAAACUCCUACGGGAGGCAGCAGUGAGGAAUAUUGGUCAAUGGGCGGAAGCCUGAACCAGCCAAGUAGCGUGCAGGAUGACGGCCCUAUGGGUUGUAAACUGCUUUUGUACGGGAAUAAAGUGACCCACGUGUGGGUUUUUGCAUGUACCGUAAGAAUAAGGACCGGCUAAUUCCGUGCCAGCAGCCGCGGUAAUACGGAAGGUCCGGGCGUUAUCCGGAUUUAUUGGGUUUAAAGGGAGCGUAGGCCGUUUCUUAAGCGUGUUGUGAAAUGUAGGCGCCCAACGUCUGCACUGCAGCGCGAACUGGGGAACUUGAGUACGCGGGAAGUAGGCGGAAUUCGUCGUGUAGCGGUGAAAUGCUUAGAUAUGACGAAGAACUCCGAUUGGGAAGCCAGCCUGCUGUAGCGCCACUGACGCUGAUGCUCGAAAGCGUGGGUAUCGAACAGGAUUAGAUACCCUGGUAGUCCCCU